rnacentral:rRNA from 1 species
CCUACGGGUGGCAGCAGUGAGGAAUAUUGGUCAAUGGACGCAAGUCUGAACCAGCCAUGCCGCGUGCAGGAAGACGGCUCUAUGAGUUGUAAACUGCUUUUGUACGAGGGUAAACGCAGAUACGCGUCUCUGUCUGAAAGUCUCGUACGAAUAAGGAUCGGCUAACUCCGUGCCAGCAGCCGCGGUAAUCCGGAGGAUUCAAGCGUUAUCCGGAUUUAUUGGGUUUAAAGGGUGCGUAGGCGGUCGGAUAAGUUAGAGGUGAAAUCCCGAGGCUCAACUUCGGAAUUGCCUCUGAUACUGUGCGGCUAGAGAGUAGUAGCGGUAGGCGGAAUGUAUGGUGUAGCGGUGAAAUGCUUAGAGAUCAUACAGAACACCGAUUGCGAAGGCAGCUUACCAAGCUACUUCUGACGUUGAGGCACGAAAGCGUGGGGAGCAAACAGGAUUAGAUACCCCUGUAGUC